GACGAACGCUGGCGGCGUGCCUAAUACAUGCAAGUAGGACGCAGUUGCGAACGGGUGAGUAACGCGUAGGUAACUGCCUAUUAGAGGGGGAUAACUAUUGGAAACGAUAGCUAAUACCGCAUACUAGUAGAUGUACCUGCGUUGUAUUAUCUAGUAGGUAGGGUAAUGUCCUCCCUAGGCGACGAUACAUAGCCGACCUGAGAGGGUGAUCGGGCCACCUGGGACUGAGACAAGGACCCGAAUCCUACGGGAGGCAGCAGUAGGGAAGCUUCGGCAAUGGGGGGAAACCUGACCGAGCAACGCCGCGUGAGUGAAGAAGGUUUUCGGAUCGUAAAGCUCUGUUGUUAAGGAAGCGGUACUCAACCAGAAAGGGACGGCUAACUACGUGCCAGCAGCCGCGGUAAUUC
rnacentral:rRNA from 1 species